CCUACGGGAGGCAGCAGUAGGGAAUCUUCCGCAAUGGACGAAAGUCUGACGGAGCAACGCCGCGUGAACGAUGAAGGCCUUCGGGUCGUAAAGUUCUGUUGUUAGGGAAGAACAAGUGCUAGUUAAAUAAGCUGGCACCUUGACGGUACCUAACCAGAAAGCCACGGCUAACUACGUGCCAGCAGCCGCGGUAAUACGUAGGUGGCAAGCGUUGUCCGGAAUUAUUGGGCGUAAAGUGCGCGCAGGCGGUUUCUUAAGUCUGAUGUGAAAGCCCCCGGCUCAACCGGGGAGGGUCAUUGGAAACUGGGAAACUUGAGUGCAGAAGAGGAAAGUGGAAUUCCAAGUGUAGCGGUGAAAUGCGUAGAGAUUUGGAGGAACACCAGUGGCGAAGGCGACUUUCUGGUCUGUAACUGACGCUGAGGCGCGAAAGCGUGGGGAGCAAACAGGAUUAGAUACCCUGGUAGUCCACGCUGUAAACGAUGAGUGCUAAGUGUUAGAGGGUUUCCGCCCUUUAGUGCUGAAGUUAACGCAUUAAGCACUCCGCCUGGGGAGUACGGUCGCAAGACUGAAACUCAAAGGAAUUGACGG
rnacentral:rRNA from 1 species